GAUGAACGCUGGCGGCGUGCCUAAUACAUGCAAGUCGAACGAACAGACGAGUAGCUUGCUCCUCUGACGUUAGCGGCGGACGUGUUAGUCACACGUGUAUCCCCUCCCUAUAAGACUGGUAUCACUUCGUUAAACCGGAGCUAAUACCUUAUAAUCUAUUGAACCGCGUUGUUCCAUAGUGAAAGCCGGCUUUUCUGUCACUUAUAGAUGGAUCCGCGCCUCAUUAGCUAUUUGGUGAUGUAACGGCUUAACAAGGCAACGAUGCGUAGCAGACCUUAGAGGGUGUGAGGCAACACUGGAACUGAGAGACGGUCCAGACUCUGACGGAAGGCAGAAGUAGGGAAGUUGGCGAAAUGGGGGAAAGCCUGACGAAGCAACGCAGGGGGAGUGAUGAAGGUCUUCGGAUCGUAAAACGGUGUUAUGAGGGAAGAACAAAUGUGUAAGUAAAUAAGCACGUAUGGACGGUACGUAAGAGGAAAGCCACGGUUAACUACGU
rnacentral:rRNA from 1 species